GGCAGUUCUGAGGUGAAGCACCCCAGAAUCAGGCUCCCUUCUCUCUAGUUCCGGGUGUCACCCAAGAACCGCC
rfam:Myotis davidii contig317583, whole genome shotgun sequence.